ACCAUGCUCUUCAAGGCUCUGGUUGACCAGCUUCAGUUUAUCUCUCUGAUCUCAUCUCACCGCUUGCUGGACUCCUGAGGCCACACCAGCAUGAGCCAAAGAAGGACCACCUGGAUUCACAACCCAGCUCUG